GGCGUGCCUAAUACAUGCAAGUAGAACGCUGAUUACUUUAGCUUGCUAAAGUUGGAAGAGUUGCGAACGGGUGAGUAACGCGUAGGUAACCUGCCUACUAGCGGGGGAUAACUAUUGGAAACGAUAGCUAAUACCGCAUAACAGCAUUUAACCCAUGUUAGAUGCUUGAAAGGAGCAAUUGCUUCACUAGUAGAUGGACCUGCGUUGUAUUAGCUAGUUGGUGAGGUAACGGCUCACCAAGGCGACGAUACAUAGCCGACCUGAGAGGGUGAUCGGCCACACUGGGACUGAGACACGGCCCAGACUCCUACGGGAGGCAGCAGUAAGGAAUCUUCGGCAAUGGGGGCAACCCUGACCGAGCAACGCCGCGUGAGUGAAGAAGGUUUUCGGAUCGUAAAGCUCUGUUGUAAGAGAAGAACGUGUGUGAGAGUGGAAAGUUCACACAGUGACGGUAACUUACCAGAAAGGGACGGCUAACUACGUGCCAGCAGCCGCGGUAAUACGUAGGUCCCGAGCGUUGUCCGGAUUUAUUGGGCGUAAAGCGAGCGCAGGCGGUUUAAUAAGUCUGAAGUUAAAGGCAGUGGCUUAACCAUUGUUCGCUUUGGAAACUGUUAGACUUGAGUGCAGAAGGGGAGAGUGGAAUUCCAUGUGUAGCGGUGAAAUGCGUAGAUAUAUGGAGGAACACCGGUGGCGGAAGCGGCUCUCUGGUCUGUAACUGACGCUGAGGCUCGAAAGCGUGGGGAGCCACCAAGGUUAGAUACCCUGGUAGUCCACGCCGUAAACGAUGAGUGAUUAGGUGUUAAGCCCUUUCCGGGGCUUAAUGCUACAGCUAACGCAUUAACCACCUCCGCCUGGGGAGUACGACCGCAAGGUUGAAACUCAAAGGAAUUGACGGGGGCCCGCACAAACGGUGGAGCAUGUGGUUUAAUUAGAAGCAACGCGAAGAACCUUACCAGGUCUUGACAUCCCGAUGCUAUUCCUAGAGAUAGGAAGUUUCUUCGGAACAUCGGUGACAGGUGGUGCAUGGUUGUCGUCAGCUCGUGUCGUGAGAUGUUGGGUUAAGUCCCGCAACGAGCGCAACCCCUAUUGUUAGUUGCCAUCAUUAAGUUGGGCACUCUAGCGAGACUGCCGGUAAUAAACCGGAGGAAGGUGGGGAUGACGUCAAAUCAUCAUGCCCCUUAUGACCUGGGCUACACACGUGCUACAAUGGUUGGUACAACGAGUCGCGAGUCGGUGACGG
rnacentral:rRNA from 1 species